rnacentral:rRNA from 1 species
UACAGAGGGUGCGAGCGUUAAUCGGAAUUACUGGGCGUAAAGCGCACGUAGGCGGCUUGGUAUGUCGGGUGUGAAAUCCCCGGGCUCAACCUGGGAACUGCAUCCGAAACUGCCUUGCUAGAGUAUGGGAGAGGGAAGUGGAAUUUCCGGUGUAGCGGUGAAAUGCGUAGAUAUCGGAAGGAACAUCAGUGGCGAAGGCGGCACUCUGGGCUGGUACUGACGCUGAGGAGCGAAAGCGUGGGUAGCAAACAGG